rnacentral:rRNA from 1 species
GAUGAACGCUAGCUACAGGCUUAACACAUGCAAGUCGAGGGGUAACGAGAGGGAAGCUUGCUUUCCUUGUCGACGACCGGCGCACGGGUGAGUAACGCGUAUCCAACCUGCCCCCAACUAGGGAAUAACCUUGCGAAAGUAAGACUAAUGCCCUAUAAUUUCCUCAGAUGUCAUCUGGCGAGGAAUAAAGAUUUAUCGGUUGUGGAUGGGGAUGCGUCUGAUUAGCUUGUCGGCGGGGUAACGGCCCACCAAGGCAACGAUCAGUAGGGGUUCUGAGAGGAAGGUCCCCCACAUUGGAACUGAGACACGGUCCAAACUCCUACGGGAGGCAGCAGUGAGGAAUAUUGGUCAAUGGGCGGAAGCCUGAACCAGCCAAGUAGCGUGCAGGAUGACGGCCCUAUGGGUUGUAAACUGCUUUUAUACAGGAAUAAAGUUAGCCACGUGUGGUUAUUUGUAGGUACUGUAUGAAUAAGGACCGGCUAAUUCCGUGCCAGCCGCCGCGGUAA